UGGGGAAUAUUGCACAAUGGGCGCAAGCCUGAUGCAGCCAUGCCGCGUGUGUGAAGAAGGCCUUCGGGUUGUAAAGCACUUUCAGCGAGGAGGAAGGUGGUGGACUUAAUACGUUCAUCAAUUGACGUUACUCGCAGAAGAAGCACCGGCUAACUCCGUGCCAGCAGCCGCGGUAAUACGGAGGGUGCAAGCGUUAAUCGGAAUUACUGGGCGUAAAGCGCACGCAGGCGGUUUGUUAAGUCAGAUGUGAAAUCCCCGGGCUCAACCUGGGAACUGCAUUUGAAACUGGCAAGCUAGAGUCUCGUAGAGGGGGGUAGAAUUCCAGGUGUAGCGGUGAAAUGCGUAGAGAUCUGGAGGAAUACCGGUGGCGAAGGCGGCCCCCUGGACGAAGACUGACGCUCAGGUGCGAAAAGCGUGGGGAGCAAAACAGGAUUAGAUACCCUGGUAGUCCACGCUGUAAAACGAUGUCGAUUUGGAGGUUGUGCCCUUGAGGCGUGGCUUCCGGAGCUAACGCGUUAAAUCGACCGCCUGGGGAGUACGGCCGCAAGGUU
rnacentral:rRNA from 1 species